rnacentral:rRNA from 1 species
GCGCGCGCAGGCGGUUUCUUAAGUCUGAUGUGAAAGCCCCCGGCUCAACCGGGGAGGGUCAUUGGAAACUGGGGAACUUGAGUGCAGAAGAGGAGAGUGGAAUUCCACGUGUAGCGGUGAAAUGCGUAGAGAUGUGGAGGAACACCAGUGGCGAAGGCGACUCUCUGGUCUGUAACUGACGCUGAGGCGCGAAAGCGUGGGGAGCGAACAGGAUUAGAUACCCUGGUAGUCCACGCCGUAAACGAUGAGUGCUAAGUGUUAGAGGGUUUCCGCCCUUUAGUGCUGCAGCAAACGCAUUAAGCACUCCGCCUGGGGAGUACGGUCGCAAGACUGAAACUCAAAGGAAUUGACGGGGGCCCGCACAAGCGGUGGAGCAUGUGGUUUAAUUCGAAGCAACGCGAAGAACCUUACCAGGUCUUGACAUCCUCUGACAACCCUAGAGAUAGGGCUUCCCCUUCGGGGGCAGAGUGACAGGUGGUGCAUGGUUGUCGUCAGCUCGUGUCGUGAGAUGUUGGGUUAAGUCCCGCAACGAGCGCAACCCUUGAUCUUAGUUGCCAGCAUUCAGUUGGGCACUCUAAGGUGACUGCCGGUGACAAACCGGAGGAAGGUGGGGAUGACGUCAAAUCAUCAUGCCCCUUAUGACCUGGGCUACACACGUGCUACAAUGGGCAGAACAAAGGGCAGCGAAGCCGCGAGGCUAAGCCAAUCCCACAAAUCUGUUCUCAGUUCGGAUCGCAGUCUGCAACUCGACUGCGUGAA